rnacentral:snRNA from 1 species
AGCUUUGCGCAGUGGCAGUAUCAUAGCCAAUGAGGUUUAUCCAAGGUGCAAUUAUUGCUAAUUGAAAACCUAAAAGUAAUGUCUCAAUAAUAUAUCUCUAUUUCAUUUUUUUCACCUAUUUGGUG